CCAAACUUGAAUUAAAUUUCCUUUCCGUAAGAUUUGAUUUUCUUCCACAAGCAGCAAAUUUUUGAUUUCUUUCACAUUCAAAUCUUUGACGAACGAGUAAAUUCAAUCUAUUUAAACCUCAUUGUAUCAUCCUCAAAAUUCACAAAUCCAACAAAAACUCAACUUUUAUAAUCCAUCCGGUUUUCUUCAACUGCACAAUUUCAACUGGUAAACUUUAUUUUUCCGCAAAGUUUUCAUGAUUUAAUUUCAUUUUCAUAUGCAAAGAUCUCUGCUUUCUUUCAAUUUACAGAAAACAACCAAAACUUUUACAACAGAAUUUAUGUUUUCGAAUUCAAAACAUGCAUACAUCCAUUUUCUGUAAUUUCCAUAAGGAAAUCAAAUAGAAUAAAUCUUACUAAAUACAUGAAAAAGAAAAUAGAAAUAGAAGAAGGGAGGGGAAAUUGUUGGUGAGUGUAUGACUGUUGAACAGCGCCGCCGGCGCUACGCGCCACGGCGGCUGGCGGAAGGAGGCAGGGGCGGCGUACGGCGAGAGAGGAAACAGGGGCAGCGGCACCGUGGUCUCUGCCGCUGCUGUGUACUUCCGGUCAGGGCGGAGGGAGAGGCGCUUGGGUUGUGCCGCUGUCGACGCGAGAGGGCGGUAGUGGUGGCGAAGGUCGCCGGAGAAGGAGACGCGGCCGCGGCUUGGCGCGGCGAGGAGAGGCAAGAGACCGAGGGAGAGAGGGAAGGAGAGAGAAGUGGAGCAGUUGCUGUGCGUAAGUGAGUGAAUGAGUGUUAUAUUAGGGGUUGAUAUUAGUCUUUGGGCUUGGGCUUAGGUUAAAUUCAUUUAAUGAGCUGAAUUUACUUAAAUAAUUGGGCUAAUAAUUUUAAUAAAAAUUGGGCUUUUAUUUUAAAUUAAGAUUUAAGCAACAAGAUCAUGCCUUAAAUAUUUUAUUAAUAAGAUCAAUGUAAUUUUAAAGGUUUUAUGUAAAUUUUCUUUAAUUUUUAAAUUAUUUUUACAAGUUCAAAUAGGCCCUUAUGUUUAUUAUUUGAAUUUAUCUGACUAGGUGCGGCGCGACUAGGACAUAACUGUUGAUCUGAAAUUAUUCAAGUUAUCUAUCAAAUCCAUAUUUUCAGGUGUGGGAUUUAUUUCAGUACAUGCACGUGGUUAAUAUUUGUCCAUUUUAAUAUUAUGUGUUUACCGUAUGUGUUGUAAAAAUAUUUAUCGCUAGGGGCCAGCAUAAUUGGUCCAGGACUUCACCGUCCUUGGUAUGCCACAAUGCGAUUUCAUGUUACAGGGUUGCAACCAUUAUAUUGUCGCCAGGGGCCCACAUAUAGGGUCCGGGACAUUAAAGUCCUUGGAGUUGCCACAGUGCGUAUGGAAGUUAUGUUACGUUAUGACAAUAUGUGUUACCAUUUUAUUAACAUGGACAAUUAUUGCAUGUUCCCACACUGAGUGUACCCUGUAUGCUCAUCCCAUAUUCAACAGUUUCAGGUGAUUGAUAUUGGAGGCGCGUGGAGAGUCGAAUGGGCGCGUCGAAUCUAAUUAAAAAUAAAUGUUUCUUAAAACAUAUUAUGUUAUUUCAUUUGAUAUCUUUUGGUUAUGUAAACUCUGAAAUUCUAUACUAUUUGAGAUUUGUGUGUGAUUUGUUUAAAUAAAUGUUAUUAUAUUAUUUUAA
rnacentral:lncRNA from 1 species